CCGACCUUAGCUCAGUUGGAAGAGCGCAAGACUGUAAUGGUUGCUAUCUUGAUGCCGCCUGUUCGAUCCAGGCAGGUCGGA